rnacentral:lncRNA from 1 species
AGUGCACAAUAUUUCUGUAUGUUUCUGUAACAUGAGUGCAAAAUUCUUCAUUAAUGGAUUUUCGUAAUAAUUACCAUUGGUCUAAAGAGAAGGUUAAUGGUUGGCCUCCGUGAAACAAUACAAAAAACAGCAGUUACAUCUGCAAAUUAUCUGGGUUUUCCUUUUAAGACUAUACCUCAUGUAUAAAUGCACUACACGUCUAGGCAUUGCUCGCGAAGAUGUAAUGCGUGCUUUCAAGAGCACUACUCCGAGUUUGAACUUCAUUUCUUCCUUCCGGCGCUUUUGAUGACACCGUUUCCAGUCGUAUCCUGUUUCUUCACAGUCAAGUCACAAACCACAUGAAGUAAUAUAACUUUGAAUAAGGCUUCGAGCAAGGUCUUCAGCUACGUUUCUCAGGUUCCAAAAUGCGUAAGUUUGCCUUAAAGAUUUUCUUCAUCUGGUCUUUGCUGAGCUGUGUUCGGCCACAUAUGGAAGAAGACAAUUUUGGAAAAGAGAAUUAUCUAAAUGAAUUAGAAGAACGACAGCUAGGGGCCAUUGGAUUAACUGUUCUUGGUGCGUUAACUCUACCGAUUCUGAUUCCGGUCGGAGUAGCCAGGCUUGUCAGUAGACUGGUGAAUCUCGGAAACAGUUCUUCAUCAACAGGUGUGACUGUGCGGCCGGUUAUUCUUCCUGGCCGUCCUCUCAGAAGGCCACAAUAUAUAAAUUAUCAUAAAGACUUCUUUUCUGAAAGACUUAUUCACGCAAGACGCUUAAAUAACGUGCAAUAGAAGAAAAAAUGUAUUACUACGUCUUAUGUACUUGAUUCCUAUUUAUAAGUGAACCGAUGUUCCUUUCAGCUGUGGGAAGGUAUGAAAUGCUUCCCUUGGGAAAAUAUAUUAUUCAUUAUCUUCUCUUUGUGAUUACUGAUGUCAAAGUAAAGCUCACAUUUUCCUUACUUUCUUCCUAAAUCUUUAGUUUAAUGUAGGUUUUCGCUUAGUAUAUAAUUUUAAGUAAUUAAAAGUGAAGUCAACCGAAAAUGCAACAUAUCUGCAAUGUAAAAGAACAGAUAUUAUUGCGAUUGAAUUCAUCUAAAAUUUAUGUAACAAACAAAAUAUAGUUGUAAAAUGAUAAUUCAUAUUGUUAAAUCACAUUAACAACUUGCAUUAUCAUUUGAUUAUAAUGUGCCCCAAGUCUGCAGAGUUAUUACAAUUCGAAUAAAAUGUGAUAAUACUUUUCUUUAAAUGCAAAAACAGCGAGGAUUUUUAAUAUGCAGUUUGUCGAAGUAGUAGGUUAAAAAUCUUCAUCGCCUUUGAGCAUUGUCAGCCACAUUUCUCGACUACAUGAAAACAAAUGAAUUUUUCGCCUUAUUGUAUGACAAGACCGCAAAACUAAACUUUAAGGUUAGUUUCUAAAUUAUUAUAUAAAUGUUUUUACUAUUAAUUUAUUACAUUUGGCUGAUAAUGUUGAAUUGUUGAAACUAUCAAUAGUAUCACUGAAAACUGAUCAUAGGCUCCUACAAAGCUUUCAUUAGCAUGUUUUGUACUUUAUGCUUUUAAAUUUAAAUAUUUUACUCAGCAAUAAAAUGAUUUCUUUUCAAA